AGUGAACGUUAGCGGCGGGCCUAACACAUGCAAGUCGAACGAGAAAAUCCCUUCGGGGGUGAGUACAGUGGCGCACGGGUGAGGAACGCGUAGGUAAUCUACCCUUUGGCGGGGGACAACAUUCCGAAAGGAAUGCUAAUACCGCGUAAGACCACGUUCACUACGGUGAGAGUGGUAAAAGGUGCCUCAAAGCACCACCAAAGGAUGAGCCUGCGUCCCAUCAGCUUGUUGGUAAGGUAAUGGCUUACCAAGGCUAAGACGGGUAGCUGGUCUGAGAGGAUGAUCAGCCACACUGGCACUGGAACACGGGCCAG
rnacentral:rRNA from 1 species